GGUGCUUGCAUCAUGAUUUACAUUUGAGUGAGUGGCGAACUGGUGAGUAACACGUGGGAAACCUGCCCAGAAGCGGGGGAUAACACCUGGAAACAGAUGCUAAUACCGCAUAACAACUUGGACCGCAUGGUCCGAGUUUGAAAGAUGGCUUCGGCUAUCACUUUUGGAUGGUCCCGCGGCGUAUUAGCUAGAUGGUGAGGUAACGGCUCACCAUGGCAAUGAUACGUAGCCGACCUGAGAGGGUAAUCGGCCACAUUGGGACUGAGACACGGCCCAAACUCCUACGGGAGGCAGCAGUAGGGAAUCUUCCACAAUGGACGAAAGUCUGAUGGAGCAACGCCGCGUGAGUGAAGAAGGGUUUCGGCUCGUAAAACUCUGUUGUUAAAGAAGAACAUAUCUGAGAGUAACUGUUCAGGUAUUGACGGUAUUUAACCAGAAAGCCACGGCUAACUACGUGCCAGCAGCCGCGGUAAUACGUAGGUGGCAAGCGUUGUCCGGAUUUAUUGGGCGUAAAGCGAGCGCAGGCGGUUUUUUAAGUCUGAUGUGAAAGCCUUCGGCUCAACCGAAGAAGUGCAUCGGAAACUGGGAAACUUGAGUGCAGAAGAGGACAGUGGAACUCCAUGUGUAGCGGUGAAAUGCGUAGAUAUAUGGAAGAACACCAGUGGCGAAGGCGGCUGUCUGGUCUGUAACUGACGCUGAGGCUCGAAAGUAUGGGUAGCAAACAGGAUUAGAUACCCUGGUAGUCCAUACCGUAAACGAUGAAUGCUAAGUGUUGGAAGGGUUUCCGCCCUUCAGUGCUGCAGCUAACGCAUUAAGCAUUCCGCCUGGGGAGUACGGCCGCAAGGCUGAAACUCAAAGGAAUUGACGGGGGCCCGCACAAGCGGUGGAGCAUGUGGUUUAAUUCGAAGCUACGCGAAGAACCUUACCAGGUCUUGACAUACUAUGCAAAUCUAAGAGAUUAGACGUUCCCUUCGGGGACAUGGAUACAGGUGGUGCAUGGUUGUCCUCAGCUCCUGUCCUGAAAAUUUUGGGUUAAUUCCGGCACCA
rnacentral:rRNA from 1 species